AUUGAACGCUGGCGGCAUGCUUUACACAUGCAAGUCGAACGGCAGCGCGGGCUUCGGCCUGGCGGCGAGUGGCGAACGGGUGAGUAAUGCAUCGGAACGUGCCCAGUAGUGGGGGAUAGCCCGGCGAAAGCCGGAUUAAUACCGCAUACGACCUGAGGGUGAAAGCGGGGGACCGAAAGGCCUCGCGCUAUUGGAGCGGCCGAUGUCGGAUUAGCUAGUUGGUGGGGUAAAGGCUUACCAAGGCGACGAUCCGUAGCUGGUCUGAGAGGACGACCAGCCACACUGGGACUGAGACACGGCCCAGACUCCUACGGGAGGCAGCAGAGGGGAAUUUUGGACAAUGGGGGCAACCCUGAUCCAGCCAUGCCGCGUGCGGGAAGAAGGCCUUCGGGUUGUAAACCGCUUUUGUUCGGGAAGAAAUCCUCUGGGCUAAUACCCCGGGGGGAUGACGGUACCGGAAGAAUAAGCACCGGCUAACUACGUG
rnacentral:rRNA from 1 species